rnacentral:rRNA from 1 species
GUGGGGAAUCUUGGUCAAUGGGCGCAAGCCUGAACCAGCGACGCCGUGUGGGGGAUGAAGGCCUUAGGGUCGUAAACUCCUUUCAGGAGGGAAGAAUGACAUUCGGUUCAUACCCGAAUGGCUUGACGGUACCUUCAGAAGAAGCCCCGGCUAACUACGUGCCAGCAGCCGCGGUAAUACGUAGGGGGCGAGCGUUAUCCGGAAUUACUGGGCGUAAAGGGCAAGUAGGCGGGAGAAUAAGUCUGAUGUGAAAGACCUCGGCUCAACCGGGGACCCGCAUUGGAAACUGUUUUUCUUGAGUGGAUGAGAGGAGAGUGGAACUGCCGGUGUAGCGGUGAAAUGCGUAGAUAUCGGUAGGAACAUCAAUGGCGAAGGCAACUCUCUGGCAUCUUACUGACGCUCAACUGCGAAAGCGUGGGGAGCAAACGGG